CUAAAUGUUAGCUAAUUUAUUAUUUGAGUAAUAGUGUUGUGGGAUAAAAUGUAUUAUGCUAAUUGGAGGAUCGAUCUUAUUAAUGAUAGGUCUUUUAUAAGAGAUUAAACUGAUUGCUUAGCGGUAAUCAACGGUACAUGCAAGUUCCUAAACUUGAACUUCUAAUUAUUGUGCAAGUUUCCUAACUCAACUUGAGUUAAUUCGAAGCAUGUUAGUGAUUAAUUAUUGUUGAUUAUACCACGUCAAUAAUUUAUUGAUUCGCACAUUGUGUAUGUUGUUUAUGUUCAUCAGGUAUGAAAGGCUGAUCACCUUCAUUACCAUAGGUUUCAGUUAAACUUGUUCAUGUUAAUUGUUGACAUCCAAUAACAUUGGUUCAGUCAUUCAAUCAUUGAAACUUGAUUCGUGUUAUUUCACAAUUAUUAUAUUGUUGAAAACUUGAAAGCUUAUCCAUUCUUUUCAAUCAUGAUAUAUCUCCUUUGUAUGUAAAACUUGCUGGGCA
rnacentral:lncRNA from 1 species